rnacentral:rRNA from 1 species
AUCUAGCCAUGGGCAGGUUGAAGGUUGGGUAACACUAACUGGAGGACCGAACCGACUAAUGUUGAAAAAUUAGCGGAUGACUUGUGGCUGGGGGUGAAAGGCCAAUCAAACCGGGAGAUAGCUGGUUCUCCCCGAAAGCUAUUUAGGUAGCGCCUCGUGAACUCAUCUUCGGGGGUAGAGCACUGUUUCGGCUAGGGGGUCAUCCCGACUUACCAACCCGAUGCAAACUACGAAUACCGAAGAAUGUUAUCACGGGAGACACACGGCGGGUGCUAACGUCCGUCGUGAAGAGGGAAACAACCCAGACCGCCAGCUAAGGUCCCAAAGUCAUGGUUAAGUGGGAAACGAUGUGGGAAGGCACAGACAGCCAGGAUGUUGGCUUAGAAGCAGCCAUCAUUUAAAGAAAGCGUAAUAGCUCACUGGUCGAGUCGGCCUGCGCGGAAGAUGUAACGGGGCUAAACCAUGCACCGAAGCUGCGGCAGCGACACUAUGUGUUGUUGGGUAGGGGAGCGUUCUGUAAGCCUGCGAAGGUGUGCUGUGAGGCAUGCUGGAGGUAUCAGAAGUGCGAAUGCUGACAUAAGUAACGAUAAAGCGGGUGAAAAGCCCGCUCGCCGGAAGACCAAGGGUUCCUGUCCAACGUUAAUCGGGGCAGGGUGAGUCGACCCCUAAGGCGAGGCCGAAAGGCGUAGUCGAUGGGAAACAGGUUAAUAUUCCUGUACUUGGUGUUACUGCGAAGGGGGGACGGAGAAGGCUAUGUUAGCCGGGCGACGGUUGUC